ACUCAAAUGAAUUGACGGGGGCCCGCACAAGCGGUGGAGUAUGUGGUUUAAUUCGAAGCAACGCGCAGAACCUUACCUACCCUUAACAUCCCGGGAAGUUUGCAGAGAUGUAAAUGUCACUUCGGUGACUCGGAGAUAGGUGCUGCAUGGCUGUCGUCAGCUCGUGUCGUAAGAUGUCUGGUUAAGUCCAAUAACGAGCGCAACCCUUGUCCUUAGUUACCAUCAUUAAGUUGGGGACUCUAGGGAGACUGCCGGUGUUAAACCGGAGGAAGGCGGGGAUGACGUCAAGUCCUCAUGGCCCUUACGGGUAGGGCUACACACGUACUACAAUGGCAGAAACAAACUGUUGCGAAACCGCGAGGUGGAGCUAAUCGGUAAAACACUGUCUCAGUCCGGAUUGAAGUCUGCAACUCGACUUCAUGAAGUUGGAAUCGCUAGUAAUCGCUGAUCAGCAAGCAGCGGUGAAUACGUUCCCGGGCCUUGUACACACCGCCCGU
rnacentral:rRNA from 1 species